AAGUGUUUUGGCUAUCGCUGCCAAACACAGACAAAAACAGUGUUCACCCAGUUGGCAGACUCCUCAAAAGGUUACAGAUAUCACCGCCGCACUUUUAUCACCUUGUCUUUUUUUCUCCCUUUCUUUUCUCUCCUGGAGGUUUAGGGAUCAUGUAUGCAGCUGUCCGUGUCAUUCACGGUAUAAAAAAUCUCACGCAAACCAGGCAGGCCGGCAGCCGGCGGGAGGAGACGGCUUCCUCUGAUGAUCUGAGAGAAGGGUGGAAACAUGGAGAAGUGUGGGUCAAUGGCAGGCCGGAAUCUCCUCCUGUGAGGCCCAAUCAGGAUCAAUAACACCGGGGCCUUCGACAUGCACACACCACAGGGAACCAGGGAUACCUCAGCAGACUGAUGGUGUGGACAACAUGGACACUGUGUGUGUGUGUGUGUGUGUGUGUGUGUGUGAGAGAGAGAGAGAAUAUUGACCUGCCAUUGGAUUUUCCAUUCUCUGAAUUCAAUUUAAAUCCACUGAACAUGCUGAACAAAUUAGAUAAGGGUUAUUAUUUUACUUCAUUUAAGGUACAAACAUUUAAAACAUUUAUAUUAGACUUUGCAUUUUAAGGAUAUUAAUAUAUACCUUUCUAAACUGUUUAUUUAAAUCUGGUAUAUAGUGUGAUUCUAAGCUGUGUCAUUUUACUCUAUAAGAUGUACAAUAAUUCGCCCCUUUAUUGCAGCACCAACUUUAAACUGCAGCCAUAUGCCUUCAAAAUGUAAAUGCACGCAAACAAUGUUUCUGAAUAAAAUAAAACGACAUCCCACUCUCAAAUUGGUUCUAAUUAGGGCCAAAAGCUCCGUGCAAUAGCCGGGACUGAGCGACAUUCCUUUGCCAUUACAUUGUAACUGAUCUUUGGAGACUGGACGCGCGGCUACAGGGCCGCUUCAACCUCUCGCUGACCCCACAUGAUCUAAGUUUACAAAGCUGUGGCGAAACGUGAACCCGAAACUCACUCUGCAGAAUUAACUUCAAUUGUGGGAUCGCGGAGAGGAGCUUAAAGAAAACACACGCUUCUCAUUUGCACCACACGUCGCCAGUGGUAUAACUUUGCGCUGAAGAGGAGGGCCCUUCAGGUUAGGAGACCGAACAGGUACAAUAUGACCGCGCACGCACCAGUGGAGAAAAGGAAAGAAUAAAGAAGUUCAUUUACA